ensembl:lncRNA
GUAAAGAAUCCCUCUGCCAAUGUAGAAGUCACAGGAGACAUGGCUUCCAUCCCUGGGUUGGGAAUAUUUCCUGGAGGAGGAACUGGCAACCCACUCCAGUAUUCUUGCAUGGGAAAUUCCAUGAACAGAGGAGCCUGGUGGGCCACAGUCCACGGGGUUGCAAAGAGUCAGGCACGUCUGAGCAACUGAGCAUGCACACCGUAGCGGGGGCAUCCUGGGCUGACCUUGUGGCCCAGAAAUGUUUCCUCUUGAGCAGAAGCACAUCAGAGAGCAGGAAGCUAGGUGGAACCAAGUGUUGGACACAGGUGAAACGAGCCUGUGCGAUGAGAAAGUGAAGUUACGAACAUACAGGUCUAUCCUCAGCCUGGCAGCUGGUGGAGAGAAGAUGGCAUCUCAAUUGUGGACUUGGACGACUCAAUUCUUCAGGGGCCCAAAGUACACACCAGAUGCCACGUUUCCACGGCCUUUAGCAGCGUGAGAACUGUUAUUCUUUCAGUGUACAUCCUCCUUGUUCAGAGCCAUCACCCCAUUCCAUCUUCAGAAUUCUUUUCAUCUUCCCCACACAAAAUUCUGUACCAAUUAAACUAUAACUUUCCAUUCCUCCAG